GCUGUUGUGUGUUUUUUCAUAAGGGUCCCAAACUAUACCGAGAUUUGGAAUAUUACGUUACAGUCCUGCAGGAAAAUGGCGACUGUCAUUCAUAAUCCUCUAAAAUCGCUGGGUGACCAGUUCUACAAGGAGGCCAUCGAACACUGUCGCAGCUACAAUGCCCGUCUCUGUGCCGAGCGCAGCGUGCGCAUGCCCUUCCUGGACUCGCAAACCGGCGUGGCACAGAACAACUGCUACAUCUGGAUGGAAAAGCGCCAUCGCCAGCCAGGCCAGGCCGCAGGACAGAUGUAUACCUACCCUGCUCGUUGCUGGAGAAAGAAGAGGCGACUCCACCCUCCUCUGGAUCCCCAGCUCCGCCUGUGUGAGCUUCGACUAGAAGCCGAGCUGGCCCCCAAGCGUGAGGUGCCCCCAGGGGAGGCUACAGCCUUGGAGGCCCUCCUGAGGGGGGACAGCCUGCUGGAGAAAAAAAACAGCUUCAAUAAGGAAGAGGAGACGUUGCUGGAAAUACAGAGAGUACUGGAGGCGGAAGAAAAUGGGGACGGUUUCCAUGAUGAUGAAGACUUUGAACUGGAUACUCCAAAGAGAAAGAACAGAAACAGAGGCAAAAACAGAGGAAGUCGCAGGAGGACAGAACCUGUUAACAUCGAUGACCAGGACAAACCUUACGUCUGUGACAAUAGAUACAAACAAAAGCAUAACUCAAAAAAGGCUGAAGAAGUAUGUGGAAAGCGCUACAAGAACCGGCCUGGCCUAAGCUACCACUACACCCACACUCACCUGGCAGAGGAGGAGGGUGAGGAGGAGAAAGAACCAGAGAUGGCUCCAUCUCCUCCACAGAGCUCGGACAACCACAAACGUAAGAUGCUACAUAGACCUCAGAAGGGCCCUGAUGGCGCCGUUAUCCCCAACGACUACUGUGACUUCUGCCUGGGAGACCAGGACUCCAACAGGAAGACAGGCCAGGCCGAGGAGCUGGUGUCCUGCUCUGACUGUGGACGCUCUGCUGGAAGAGGAGGAGUGAAGAAGGAUGGGAGGAAGAUGAGUGCUCUCGAAGAAUUGUUCAGCAACACGUCAGACAGCGAGGCCUCCACGUUUCAAGGCUUUGAAGAAGCAGAGCUGGAAGACAUUUUGUUGUCAGACGAUGAUGAUGCUGUGGCUGACAGCUGAUAACACGAUGGCUUGACUAGUUGGACCGUGUGGCAAUAAAAAUCUGAAGGCUGAAGGCACAGACUGGACUACAGUGGCUCACCUUGAAGAUGCCUCUACCUGAAAAGUCACUGGAAUAUUCUGAACUCUUUUAUUUACACAUGAAGCCAGCUUCUUCUUGAAAAUGAUGGAUACAAUGGCUUUUUUUCUUCUUUUUUUUUUUUUUGCUUAUAUGGAUUUUGCUGUUAAGACAUUUUCCAAUUUUCAUAAAACAAAAGCAAACUCCUUACACUCGACUUUGCUUGCAUCAGAUAAUCAAGAUCAUAGGCUAAACUUCAUGGCUACAUCCUAAUUAAUUUUGGACUGAAAAGAUUAAUAGCAGACAUGGUGGACCAGAGAAAAUGGAGUAAAUUGUGGCAGGGGGAGGGAUGAACGUGGACUUUUGAGUCACUCCAUUGGCUAAAGAGGACAGGUAGUCGAGAGGUCACCCCACAUGCCUGCAGUUCACUGAGAACAUGAUGCAGGCGGUGAGGACGUACCAGUGGCAGUGCAUCGAGUGCAAGUCUUGCAGUCUCUGUGGAACCUCAGAGAACGAUGACCAGCUGCUGUUCUGUGAUGACUGU